CACGGAGUUAGCCGAUCCUUAUUCUUACGGUACCGUCAAGCUCCUACACGUAGGAGUGUUUCUUCCCGUACAAAAGCAGUUUACAAUCCAUAGGACCGUCAUCCUGCACGCGGCAUGGCUGGUUCAGGCUUGCGCCCAUUGACCAAUAUUCCUCA
rnacentral:rRNA from 1 species